GGAUCGGCUAACUCCGUGCCAGCAGCCGCGGUAAUACGGAGGAUCCAAGCGUUAUCCGGAUUUAUUGGGUUUAAAGGGUGCGUAGGCGGCUUUUUAAGUCAGGGGUGAAAGACGGUAGCUCAACUAUCGCAGUGCCCUUGAUACUGAAGAGCUUGAAUGGACUAGAGGUAGGCGGAAUGUGACAAGUAGCGGUGAAAUGCAUAGAUAUGUCACAGAACACCGAUUGCGAAGGCAGCUUACUAUGGUUUUAUUGACGCUGAGGCACGAAAGCGUGGGGAUCAAACAGGAUUAGAUACCCUGGUAGUCCACGCCCUAAACGAUGAAUACUCGCUGUUAGCGAUACACAGUUAGCGGCUAAGCGAAAGCGUUAAGUAUUCCACCUGGGGAGUACGGUCGCA
rnacentral:rRNA from 1 species